rnacentral:lncRNA from 1 species
AUGCCUAUUAGAACUGUGGAAGAAGUGAUGACAGCAAGCUCCAAACCACCAAGUACUGAUGGCCAGCCAUGUUUCUCACCUUCAAGAAAAAGGAUGAACCCUUCUUCAGACUCUUCAUCUCAGUCUGCUUCACAGGUACAGUCUGUAUCUUCAUCUGAAGCAUCAUUGGUCUCAACUACGGACACUGACCUUCAUGCCCAGGCAGCUUCAAAAGAUGAGCCAAUUCAGGGCGAUGACACCCAUGCAGAGGCUGGCAUGUCAGGUCUUCAGGGCAACAACAACAACAACAAUCUCAGCCUCCAUGUUGGUGAUGGUCACACAAGUCCACACAGGUUAAAGGAAGAGUUCAGGUGCAGUGAAGGAGAAAGCAAAGAGUCAAAGCCAUCACACUUAGAUAAGUUUGGCUCUGGAGAUGGACGGAGCGAGGACCGGAAUAGGGUUUUAGAGCGCCCACACUUUUCUUCAGCUGUGAAAGACAGGGACCGGUAUAGACACUAUAGGGAAUACAACGAAAGAAGCCGGAGUCGCUAUGGUCAUAGCUAUCGCGAGAGUCGUUCUUUUAGAGAGCGUUCCACCAGUAGAGACCGGCAUCACAGAGAUCACUGGGACAGAUUCUCACAUCACCGUCGAGAGCACCAUCAUUCCCAAAGAAGACCCAGAGAGGAACGCAACCGGAGUAGGGAUAGGAGAUUUGUGAGUGACUCUUAUCGUCCUUCUGGACACAAUAACCGAGAUGGAUAUUCCAGUCACAGCCAUCGUGGGGUGGACGGUGGCUAUGGAAGGAUGUCCCAUACAGUGAAUGGUUCAAAAGUAAGACCCUCAUCUCCACGUUCUGUCAGCCCACUGCCUGGACAUUACAAGCGGAAACGCAGUCCAUCGGCUGAUGCAAGACAAAGCUCUGAUGAGUGCAGAGCGAAGAAAUACAAAAAGAAAAAGAGAAACAAAGAAAAGCACAGGCCCUCAGAGAAGGACCCAUCUGAGGGCAUUGAGGAUAGCAGCUUCAAGAGACAUAAAAAGAAGAAAAAGAAAAAGAAGAGGAGGGAGGAUGAGGAGAGGCCUCACACUAGGAGAGACGUCACUCCAAAGCGGGAAGAGCAUGAUUCUAGAGCUAGGAAUGGUGCAGAGAAAGGAAGUCUGCACCACAGCUCAGAGUCUUUUCGCAAUGUCCACCGAGACCAUACAGAGGACCACCAACAGCUCAAUGGACACAAAGCUAGUGGCCUGAGCUGUUACAGUGGAAGUGAACUUGAGCAUACUGGAAUGGAUAAAGACAAACACAAAUAUUUUGAUCAUUCUACCACUGUCAUAGGCACAAAGACACUCUCAAAUGGAAAUGGAGAUGUGGACGGUGUAUGUCACAGGACUCUUUCAGAUGUUGAAAAAGCCACGCAUCCUCACUAAAAGGGAAGGUGAUUUCUUGAACACAUCUAAG